rnacentral:rRNA from 1 species
CAGCCGCCGCGGUAAUACGGAGGGAGCUAGCGUUAUUCGGAAUUACUGGGCGUAAAGCGCACGUAGGCAGCUUUGUAAGUUAGAGGUGAAAGCCUGGAGCUCAACUCCAGAAUUGCCUUUAAGACUGCAUCGCUUGAAUCCAGGAGAGGUGAGUGGAAUUCCGAGUGUAGAGGUGAAAUUCGUAGAUAUUCGGAAGAACACCAGUGGCGAAGGCGGCUCACUGGACUGGUAUUGACGCUGAGGUGCGAAAGCGUGGGGAGCAAACAGGAUUAGAGACCCCUGUAGUCCCUGUCUCUUAUAC